AUGAUUGUCAAUGAGGAAGAGAUCUCACAACUAGAGAAGGAGAAGCGCUGGCUAGCAGUAGCCAAGGUCAACACGCGCAAGACCUUCAGUGCAGAUGCGUUCAAGGACACAAUGAAGUUUGCGUGGAGGUUGGUGUAUGAGCCAGAUAUCUGGGAGGCUGAUGACAAUUUGUUCGUGAUCCAAGUUUUUUGUGUUGCGGAUUGGAAUAGGGUUAUGCAUCAAGGGCCCUGGAUCUUUCGAGGCCUGAUGGUGGCGAUAGAGGAAUAUGAUGGCAAAGGUAAACCUGAAGCAGUACCCCUGGACCGUGUGUAUGUGUGGGCUCAGAUUCAUGAUACGCCUGACCUUUACCGUAAGGAAUCGAUCAUAGACCAACUGGCUAGGCGAAUCGGUCAGGUCAAGACUAUGGAGAUGAACCCCAAUAGAAUUUUUGAGGGCAACUACGUCUGA
rnacentral:rRNA from 1 species